rnacentral:rRNA from 1 species
CUUGCUCUCUGGGUGACGAGCGGCGGACGGGUGAGUAAUGUCUGGGAAACUGCCUGAUGGAGGGGGAUAACUACUGGAAACGGUAGCUAAUACCGCAUAACGUCUACGGACCAAAGUGGGGGACCUUCGGGCCUCACGCCAUCAGAUGUGCCCAGAUGGGAUUAGCUAGUAGGUGGGGUAAUGGCUCACCUAGGCGACGAUCCCUAGCUGGUCUGAGAGGAUGACCAGCCACACUGGAACUGAGACACGGUCCAGACUCCUACGGGAGGCAGCAGUGGGGAAUAUUGCACAAUGGGCGCAAGCCUGAUGCAGCCAUGCCGCGUGUGUGAAGAAGGCCUUAGGGUUGUAAAGCACUUUCAGCGAGGAGGAAGGGUUCAGUGUUAAUAGCACUGUUCAUUGACGUUACUCGCAGAAGAAGCACCGGCUAACUCCGUGCCAGCAGCCGCGGUAAUACGGAGGGUGCAAGCGUUAAUCGGAAUUACUGGGCGUAAAGCGCACGCAGGCGGUUUGUUAAGUCAGAUGUGAAAUCCC